UUGGGAAUAUGCCUUAUGGUGGGGGACAACAGUUGGAAACGACUGCUAAUACCGCAUAACAUCUCCGGAUCAAAGUGGGGGACCUUCGGGCCUCACGCCAUAAGAGUAGCCCAAGUGGGAUUAGCUAGUUGGUAAGGUAAUGGCUUACCAAGGCGACGAUCCCUAGUUGGUCUUAGAGGAUGACCAGCCACACUGGAACUGAGACACGGUCCAGACUCCUACGGGAGGCAGCAGUGGGGAAUAUUGCACAAUGGGCGCAAGCCUGAUGCAGCCAUGCCGCGUGUGUGAAGAAGGCUUUCGGGUUGUAAAGCACUUUCAGCGAGGAGGAAAGGUUGUACUUUAAUAGAGUGCAGCUGUGACGUUACUCGCAGAAGAAGCACCGGCUAACUCCGUGCCAGCAGCCGCGGUAAUACGGAGGGUGCGAGCGUUAAUCGGAAUUACUGGGCGUAAAGCGCGCGUAGGCGGUUAAUUAAGUCAGAUGUGAAAUCCCAGGGCUCAACCUUGGAACUGCAUUUGAAACUGGUUAACUAGAGUUUUGUAGAGGGUGGUAGAAUUUCAGGUGUAGCGGUGAAAUGCGUAGAGAUCUGAAGGAAUACCAGUGGCGAAGGCGGCCACCUGGACAAAGACUGACGCUGAGGCGCGAAGGCGUGGGGAGCAAACGGGAUUAGAUACCCCGGUAGUCCACGCAGUAAACGAUGUCUAUUAGAAUUUUGUGGCUAUAUGCCGUGGGAUUCAAAGCUAACGCAUUAAAUAGACCGCCUGGGGAGUACGGCCGCAAGGUUAAAACUCAAAUGAAUUGACGGGGGCCCGCACAAGCGGUGGAGCAUGUGGUUUAAUU
rnacentral:rRNA from 1 species